CAAGUGUCACCAUUUUCAGUUUUUUUCAAAUAUGGAAAUGUCACGAUUUCCUUCCUCUGCUUCUUCAUUCCAGCAUUGGCCUCUACUUUUCAAAUUUCAAAUUUGAAUGGGUACGGUUUCCCUAGAAACAAAGCAGAGCCUCCAUGUGGCCUCACCUGUUCCGCUUAAUUACUUUUUGAAUUUAAAAAUUUUCAUCUUUUUGUUCUUCUCCUCUUUUUCCUCUUCUCUUUUCUUUCAUCAAAUUCUCCAUCAACAAACCCUUCGAACCUGGCACACUAAUCCCAACUCCUGAAUCAGCUCCGACUGGCUCACCUGCUUCUUCUCGCUCCAUCACCGACAACAAUGACAACUCCAUUUUUUUCUCCUUCCCUUUCUUCAUCUUCUCUUUGUUCUCAUCUCUCUCCUCUCUUAUGUUUUAAGUUGUUGUAUGUUAAAAUCAAUGUUUAUUGAUUUUUGGUUACGAGUCAUGUUCUGUUUUUGGGUUUAAUUUGUUUCAAUAGACUUUUGUAAAUAACAAAAAUAUCUUUUGAUUUUCUUACUAAUCAUUUGUCUUCAUCUUAUAACAGUGGACGCUUCAAGCACGAGGUGCCACAAGUUACAUAUCUGGUAUAGGAAAGGACAAUUUUGGAGAGGAGAUGAAGAAAAAAUGUACAUGUGAUGAUGUAAAGCUACUCUUGUGUUGUUUGUGUGGUUAGUGGUGAAAGUGUUGAAGCUUCCUAUGUUGGCUUGGUAUCCCUGCAAGUUUUGUUGUAGCAGAUUCCAAGGUGAAGGUGUCACUUUAAAGUUUCCUUCAUGUUUGAACAUGCUACUAUCCAUUUGGGAGCAACUUACAUUCAAUUUUUCAUUUAAGGAAUCAAAUAUUUUUCUACCAGCAGCAAGAAGCCGUGGUUUAUACUAAUAUAUGGAAAAAGAAAUUGCUCCUACAAAGUGAGAGUGUAUGGAAAAAGAAAUUUUUCCUAUAAUGACCGAGGCAUGUUUCUCUUCUCUUUCUUGCUUAUUGUCAUAUAAAAAAAAUAGAAAUAGGAAAAUACUAAGAAGAUUUUAAAACAUGUCCUAUAUCUUUCGUUCUAAACAUACUUUUGGAAGAGGUGCAACAAUUAUCUUAAUAUUUGCUUAGUUUAGUACUGCUCUUUAAUAAAACUUUAAGUUUUUUUUCUUGAUAAUAUGUAUUAUAAAGCUUUGCAUUGGAUCAACAUAGAUUACUCUGGUAAAACUUCAAUUUAGAUUGGAAAAUAACAUAGAAACACUUUAAAAAUGCAUCUAAGAUUCAUUCUCCGGUGUACAGAGGUUGUCACUUGUGUUGGUUGAAGAAGCUCACUUCACUUGGUAAGGUUAUUUGUAUAUAUCUUCUCAUGUUUUGUGCACAACCUUCUUUUUUAGUUUCUGUCUUUUUUCACAAUAUCCUUUUUUAAAGAAGAGCAACGACCAAGUGCUUGCUAUCAACGAGGUUCAAUCUCCUUUUUUUUGAAGUAUAUUUCCUGUUAGUGAAUUUACAUUUUGUAAUAAGCUUGUGGGUAUGUGUUCAUCACUGCAAGGUUUCCGCAUUUGGGUUUCUCUCCGAUUGAAAAAAAUGGGUCACUUUACACUAAAUUUGUUUGCUUUCACUUCUCACCAAUCUGAUGCAUUAUUGGAUUAUUUUUGCUAUUUCAAGUUUGCUUCUCCUAAUGUGUAUGAGUGGUUUCGGAAUUCAUUGUAAAGGAAUGUGUAAUGGGUCUUUAUGAAGAAAAUCUUUUCUUUUUUUUGGGUAAUAAGUCAUAGACGCUUUUCAAGCUUAUGCUUAUUACAGUCUUAUUGACUUUAACACAGGGAAGUCUUCCUUUCCUGUUGGUAAGUUCCAACAACAUACGUGUUCCUUCCAUAUUGCAAUUUUUAUGACUUCCCUAUCAUUACAUAAAUAUUGAUCACGUUUGAUUUAUUUGCUGUCUUAUUUUCCCUUUCCAUUUAUUUGCACAUCGCAAUAGAAAUAUUUUAUCAAAGACACAAUGUUUCUUGUUUACGUCUUCCUCACUUGGUCUAUGGAAUUUUUUUGUUAAGGUCUUUGAAUUGUUAGGUUUUUUUAUUUCUUCUAUCCUAUGCAAUCCUCUCAUUUUUGUCUAUUCAAAUUUAAUGUGUACCUUUAUAAAGUAAGAUGCAACAAGAAAAUCGGAAGCAAAAUAUUCUAAAGUAUCAAAUGAUGAUAUAACAAUAGCUUCUUCUAAUUAAUUUGAUGGAAUGUCUAUCCCGCAUAUUAACUCUUUUCUUAAUAUGAUAACUGAAGAACAUUACUCUCGAGAAUUGGGAAUUUGGAAAAUAAGUUGGUUGGGUAAAGUAGAUAGCUUAUGGCUUAGUAUCCAUUGAUGAUAUCAGCUGUUAUUCUCUAGAAGCCUUGGCUCAUAGAAUAACGGUUGUAGGAACUGAUUCUCAUCCAUUCCUACAUUUUGAAGCAGGAAAUGAACACAUGGAAGUAAAUGAUUUCUCUUCCAUGACAAGAGUUUUUUUACUUUUUUUUUGUUGCAAAAUGUAAGUAAUUAUUAAAAAUCUUAGAAAGUUGGAGGAACCAUCCUAGAUAGGGAAUUAGCAUCAAAAUUAUUUUUUCCACAAAAUAAUUUUACACUUUGGAACACCUACAGGCAGUCAAGCAUUUGUCUAUCAUUCAUAAAGAAAGAAGUGAAGCAUAUGCAAAUGCCAAUGCCAGAGUCUCCUUGAAAAGUAUGUAUACAAAUAUUAUUUUUUUUAAAAAAGAAAGAAAAAAGAAUUGUGGUUCUAUCCAGAAUCCUUGGAAACACAACAGGAAAGGAAAUUGCUAUUCAUAAACUCUUAUAACUUCUGCAGCUUAAAGAUUGUCCCAUGUUAAAGCAUGAAAAUUUAGGUUGCUUUAAUUUAGAUUUUUGUGAAGCUUUAAAGGCUAUUAUUCUUUCAUCAUCCCCCAUUCUAUAUAGCAUCCAUCUAUUAUUGUGCUAUGUUUUUUUGUACAAAUAUGGCAGCAAAGCUAGGCCAAGGAGAUGUGUCAGAUUUUUUAACAACUGCUAUUGCUAUGGAGGUCUGUCACUUCGUGCUUCAUCCCCUUUUGAACUUCAUUUUAGCUUUCUCUUGACCUACCUAACUUUCCCUAGAGCAAAAAUUGUAUCUACAUUUUGCAUCACUAAUACUUAUUUGUGCCAAUGUAUUUCUCAGGCAAUGGAACAGAUCAAAUGCUUUCUUAUAAGCGAAGAUGGCUUUUAAGCGUGUGCUAGCACAAUCUUGAGACACAAGCAUGCUUUUAAUUGUGUAUAUUUUUUUCUUUAAUAAUAAUUAUAGCAUGACAAUGUGCUGUUUUUUUUUUAUUGACAUAUUAGUAGUUAAUUAUUAAUUUUUUGUAACUAGAGAAUUGAACCCAUGAUCUUUGCAAUGUGCUGUUUUAAAAAUGUUAAUAGCUUCUUUCAUUCACCUUCUAUUA